AACGAACGCUGGCGGCAUGCCUAACACAUGCAAGUCGAACGAGGCCUUCGGGUCUAGUGGCGCACGGGUGCGUAACGCGUGGGAACCUGCCCUUAGGUUCGGAAUAACUCCCCGAAAGGGGUGCUAAUACCGGAUAAUGUCUUCGGACCAAAGAUUUAUCGCCUUUGGAUGGGCCCGCGUUGGAUUAGCUAGUUGGUAGGGUAAAAGCCUACCAAGGCGACGAUCCAUAGCUGGUCCGAGAGGAUGAUCAGCCACACUGGGACUGAGACACGGCCCAGACUCCUACGGGAGGCAGCAGUGGGGAAUAUUGGACAAUGGGCGAAAGCCUGAUCCAGCAAUGCCGCGUGAGUGAUGAAGGCCUUAGGGUUGUAAAGCUCUUUUACCCGGGAUGAUAAUGACAGUACCGGGAGAAUAAGCGCCGGCUAACUCCGUG
rnacentral:rRNA from 1 species